UGGUGGAGUGAUUUGUCUGGUUAAUUCCGAUAACGAACGAGACCUUAACCUGCUAAAUAGAUACACUAACCUCUUGGUUGGUAGACAUACUUCUUAGAGGGACUAUCGGUGUUUAACCGAUGGAAGUUUGAGGCAAUAACA
rnacentral:rRNA from 1 species